rnacentral:lncRNA from 1 species
CAGUGUUAAUGGAAGAGACUACUUCGAAUUAGUAUUGAUAAGCAAUGUAGCUGGGGCUGGAUCUAUUCAAUCAGUAUCAAUCAAAGGCUCCCGGACCAGUUGGAUGGCCAUGUCCAGGAACUGGGGAGCUAACUGGCAGUCUAAUGCCUAUCUCAAUGGCCAGUCUCUGUCCUUCAAGGUCACCACCACUGAUGGAGUGACCCAAGAAUUCGACAAUGUUGUGCCUUCAGAUUGGGGGUUUGGUCAGACCUUCUCUAGCUCAGUACAGUUUUAAGCCAAGAAAGCUGCUUUGGGGUUCAGGGUUUCGGGUUUUCAUUGGCAGAGGCGUGCUUACUAUUUUAAUGAAGCAGCCCGCCCUAAAUUAUGAGAAGGAAUUCUCAAAUGGUUGGCAAUGGAGAUGGGGGCUAACCCAUGAACUCAAGGCUACUAUCAACUC